rnacentral:tRNA from 1 species
CGGGGUGUAGCUCAGCCAGGUAGAGCCCUCGCUUUGGGAGCGAGCUGUCGCACGUUCGAACCGUGUCACCCCGACCA